rnacentral:rRNA from 1 species
AUUGAACGCUGGCGGCAUGCCUUACACAUGCAAGUCGAACGGUAACAGGUUAAGCUGACGAGUGGCGAACGGGUGAGUAACAUAUCGGAACGUGCCCAGUCGUGGGGGAUAACGCAGCGAAAGCUGUGCUAAUACCGCAUACGAUCUACGGAUGAAAGCGGGGGAUCGCAAGACCUCGCGCGAUUGGAGCGGCCGAUAUCAGAUUAGCUAGUUGGGGAGGGAAAGGCUCACCAAGGCAACGAUCUGUAGCUGGUCUGAGAGGACGACCAGCCACAAUGGACGCGAGGCACGGUCCAGUCUCCUACGGGAGGCAGCAGUGAGGAAUUUUGGACAAUGGGCGCAAGCCUGAUCCAGCAAUGCCGCGUGCAGGAUGAAGGCCUUCGGGUUGUAAACUGCUUUUGUACGGAGCGAAACGGCUCUCUCUAAUACAGAGGGCUAAUGACGGUACCGUAAGAAUAAGCACCGGCUAACUACGUGCCAGCAGCCGCAGUAA